rnacentral:rRNA from 1 species
AUUGAACGCUGGCGGCAGGCCUAACACAUGCAAGUCGAGCGAGCGGCGGACGGGUGGAUAAUGUAUGGGGAUCUUCAUGAUGGCUGGGGAUAACUACUGGAAGCUGUAGCUAAUACCGCAUCCCAUCAGAUGACCCCAUAUGGGAGUAGCUAGUAGGUAAGGUAAAGGCUUACCUAGGCGACGAUCCGUAGCUGGUCUGAGAGGAUGAGCAGCAACACUGGGACUGAGACAAGGCCCAGACUCCUACGUGAGGCAGCAGUGGGGAAUAUUGGACAAUGGGCGCAAGCCUGAUGCAGCCAUGCCGCGUGUAUGAAGAAGGCCUUCGGAUUGUAAAGUACUUUAAGUCGGGAGGCGUUACCGACAGAAGAAGCACCGGCUAACUCCGUGCCAGCAGCCGCGGUAAUUC